rnacentral:lncRNA from 1 species
ACAGACUUUACAAGCUCUGAACAGUUGCACAACAAAGGGUAAAAUGAUCCAUUACAGACCGAAAAUCUCUCGCACGUGUCCACAUGACACAACCUUUAUUUACAAGCCUAAAGAGGCCACCAACCCUACUAAAAUAGGACUAUAAGCCUUCGGCCGCCCCUCUACAUGUUGUACAAGGCAUGAACAUGCCAAAAGACACGGACACACAUAAGCAUUACAUCAAACAUCUUGUUUAGAAGUUUGUUCGUGACAG